GUACACUCCUGCGGGAGGCAGCAGUGGGGAAUUUUGGACAAUGGGCGAAAGCCUGAUCCAGCAAUGCCGCGUGAGUGAAGAAGGCCUUCGGGUUGUAAAGCUCUUUUGUCAGGGAAGAAACGGUGAAAGCUAAUAUCUUUUGCUAAUGACGGUACCUGAAGAAUAAGCACCGGCUAACUACGUGCCAGCAGCCGCGGUAAUACGUAGGGUGCAAGCGUUAAUCGGAAUUACUGGGCGUAAAGCGUGCGCAGGCGGUUUUGUAAGUCUGAUGUGAAAUCCCCGGGCUCAACCUGGGAAUUGCAUUGGAGACUGCAAGGCUAGAAUCUGGCAGAGGGGGGUAGAAUUCCACGUGUAGCAGUGAAAUGCGUAGAUAUGUGGAGGAACACCGAUGGCGAAGGCAGCCCCCUGGGUCAAGAUUGACGCUCAUGCACGAAAGCGUGGGGAGCAAACAGGAUUAGAAACCCUAGUAGUCCCA
rnacentral:rRNA from 1 species